rnacentral:rRNA from 1 species
GAUGAACGCUGGCUACAGGCUUAACACAUGCAAGUCGAGGGGCAGCGAGAAGGAAGCUUGCUUUCUUUGUCGGCGACCGGCGCACGGGUGAGUAACGCGUAUCCAACCUUCCCCUUAGUAGGGCAUAGCCCGGCGAAAGUCGGAUUAAUACCCUAUGUAUUCCUUUGAGAGCAUUUGAUUGGGAACAAAGAUUUAUCGCUAAGGGAUGGGGAUGCGUCUGAUUAGCUUGUUGGCGGGGUAACGGCCCACCAAGGCGACGAUCAGUAGGGGUUCUGAGAGGAAGGUCCCCCACACUGGUACUGAGACACGGACCAGACUCC